GCUCCCGUGGUGAAACGGAUAUCACAAUGGCCUUCGAAGCCAUUAGUCCCCGUUCGAAUCGGGGCGGGAGCA
rnacentral:tRNA from 1 species